GGGUGAUUAGCUCAGUUGGUUAGAGCAUUACGUUGACAUCGUAAAGGUUGGUGGUUCGAGUCCACUAUCACCCACCA
rnacentral:tRNA from 1 species